rfam:Lupinus angustifolius cultivar Tanjil chromosome LG09, whole genome shotgun sequence.
GCACUAGUGGCUUAGUAGUACAAUAGUACUCUACCACAGUAUAGACCAGGCUUCAAUUCCUAGCUAGUGCA